rnacentral:rRNA from 1 species
AGAACGAACGCUGGCGGCAUGCCUAAUACAUGCAAGUCGAACGAACUCUUCGGAGUUAGUGGCGCACGGGUGCGUAACGCGUGGGAAUCUGCCCUUGGGUUCGGAAUAACAGUUGGAAACGACUGCUAAUACCGGAUGAUGACGAAAGUCCAAAGAUUUAUCGCCCAGGGAUGAGCCCGCGUAGGAUUAGCUAGUUGGUGAGGUAAAGGCUCACCAAGGCGACGAUCCUUAGCUGGUCUGAGAGGAUGAUCAGCCACACUGGGACUGAGACACGGCCCAGACUCCUACGGGAGGCAGCAGUAGGGAAUAUUGACAUGGGCGAAAGCCUGAUCCAGCCA